rnacentral:tRNA from 1 species
GGCGGCGUACCCAAGUGGCAAGGAGCAGUCUGCAAAACUGCCAUCCAGCAGUUCAGAACCGCUCGCCGCCUCCA